CCAUGAACCUGAUGCUGCUCAGCAACCAGGCUCUCCAGCCGUUCCUCGUCCUCCUGCUGAUGCUGCUCGGUGCCACCAUGGCCACGAGGCGAGAGACCACGUCUACGUCUACGUCCACGGCCACCUGCUGGCAGGAGAUCCCGACCGGACUGAUCCGAGACCUGUGGCGUCAGACCAGACUCCUGACCAGUAAACUACCAAAAGUAGAAAACUCCUUCAUGCGUCAUCGCUUUCUUCCAAACUUCUGCACCCAGUGUUCUGAGCGUCUGAUUGGCUGGCUGGAGCUGCGAGAGCUGAUCGACAUUUACCAGCGAAGCGUUUUUAGGCGGGACGCCGUGCAGAAGCUCCUCCCCCUCCACUAUAACGAGCUGCUGUUUCGUCUCCAGCACACGCUCAAACACUGCGUGAGUUUAAACGGGCGCUAG
rnacentral:lncRNA from 1 species